UCCCGGAGCUGGGGAUCCCGGGCCAGCGCGCCCCCUCGCUGCUCGCCUGGCCUUGCUUUUCCCUGGGCUUUGGCGAUGUGAGCUCGGGUCAUCGGGAGGAAGGGAGACGUGGCCAACCACCCGGAUGUCUGCAGGUGCCGUCCAGGCGGCGAGCGGGACAGGCGCGAGGCGUCGCGUGCAACCCUCGGGGCAGCUGAUUUCAGCUAUUUCCAGGGGCCAGAGCCUGCGUGUGGGAGACGGAUACCACAGUAGACAGACGCUUGCAUUCCCGGCCUCGCCUUCCCCUCGGUCCUCAGGUUUCAACCGCUGGGUUCCCUCCGCGUGAUGGGAAGAAAAGUUAAUUCUUAAAUGGCGGCUGGAACCAAGCUGAAGUGCGCUGACAGCCCUCACGCCCGCUCUCGACAUCUCUCAUGAGGGCGAGGAUCUCACAAUGGCAGAUGCUGGUCAAUUAGGCAGAAAUACUUUCAUCUUGAAAAAGAGAGAGGAAAAAAGGAUUUAAAGACCCAAAGGUAUUUUUGGCUGACAUGAGUGUAAUUAAUUUCUUCACAAGACAAAAUGGACAGAAAAUGAAUGCCAUUAAGGGCCGAGUUUUUAUGCUGCCAAACCGACAAAUCAAUUCAGGGCAAGCAGCAGGCUGGCGUGUUGUUUUUUUCCCCGCAGUUUUUUUUUUAUCUUUGUUAAAUAGAAUUAACAAUGAAAAGUCGAGCGAGUUGACGUAGAUUUUUUGAUUUCCAGUUAGCCGUGUACAAUGGGGUCAUGUGGCGGCCCUGGGUUGGCACUCCCGGGUGGAAGUCAUCGUGGAGGCGGAGUGGCGUCCACCCCUUUGGGUGUGGCUGGCAUCUCGAGUGCAUCGGCCCCCACGGGGCCUGCAUCACACACUUGCUGUCUGUGAGCCCUGAAGAGGGAACCGCCUUCAGCGCGAGUGCUCAGUGGGAGGUCUCACUCCUCUCCUCAUCUAAGUACCAGGCUAAGCUAAGUACCAGGCACAGGGUAGGUGCUUAAGAAAUAAUAAUAGAACAGUCCACUGAAGUUCCUUGUAUUUUCCCAUUUGUCGCCAAGCUCUUGACCCUUAGGCAUUGGUACCUUGAUGAAAAUCUCAGUUUUUCUCAGUGUUAGGAGUUCCCUUUCAUCAAUAAGACAUCUCCCUAAAUGCAUUUAUAAACAUCUU